GGAUGUGGUAAUGUAGGUGAUUGGUACACAUGCAUAGUCACAUGAGUGCACAUGCAUGGUCACAUGACAAGGUCAUAUGACCUGCAGCUAAUCAGGAAGUGAUAGAAGGUUUGCUAGUCUCAGUGGAGAGUCUUUUGCUUUCCACUGAGCACAUCUUGCGGGGUGCACUCUCCCUCUCGUGAGUAUCCCAUCCUCCAUGGAGGGAACUGGAGAAGAAUGAUGGUAAUGCCUAUCAGUGUUGCAAGCUGUAUGGAAUGGUUUCAGCUAAUGCUAUUCUAUUGUGGCCACAAAUCAGCUGCUGUGGAUGUAGGGAUCCGGAGAUACUGGACUUUGUGUAACCUCGCAAAUCCCUUUUAAGAUGUCUGUUGCUCGGUCGAGUGCUCCACUGUGAUUGGAAUUGAUGUUCUGUACCGGGCAUCUACUGGGGGUCAUAUUUUGGAUGGUGGUUUAAAUACAGCUUGACUGUACAAAGCUGGGUCCGUGUCGGCACACUGCCUCCCUUUCAGUGUUGCUGAUCGGGGUGGUGUUUACGAGCCGACCUGACCUUCGUACCCUGAGGAGAGUAACACUGUUUUUCCCAACCAAUUUAUUAUCAGGCUAAUUUUACUUAUCCCGUUGGUAUUUUAAUUGGGAUUUUAACAAUAUAUUUUGUAAUAAAAUGUACUUACUCUUGUACAACGUA